GGGGAAGAAAGACUGACAGAAGAGAGUGAGCGCACGCAGGCAAUUGUCUCAGAAAACACUUUUGCGGGUGCGUGCUCACUUAUCUUUCUGUCGGGUCGAAACUCUUCACUUCUCUCUCUCAUCUUUACAACUCAGACUACUGAAAAUUUUUCUUCCGCUUAUCUGUUGACGUCCACUCUUCUCUCUCUAUAAGUUUCUAUAGAACCCUUGACUUAUAUCGAUAUUGAGGGUUAAAAAUUAGAAGAGAAUGAAAAACGAAAAGAAGUGACACGUUGAGGGUUGAGCUCUGCAUCAUGAAGAGAGAAGUUACAGUAAGAUCGUAUUUAAUUUUUUUAUGAAUGUGUACGUAUGUAUAUUAAUCUUAUAUUAUAAUAAUGAGAAUAAUAUCUGAUGGAGCUUGAAAUUGGAAAGCGUGACUUUUCAUGGUCCUCUAUUUGUCUUUGAAGAUGGCGAACAACUUGAAGCUUUGCUACUUUAUGUUUUUGCUUCCUCUUUGUGAUCUGGAUUUGGUUGGCAUCAAAACUUUUGUGUCUUUGACUCGAUAAUUUUUUUUCCUUAAAUGAGAAAAAUAGUUUGUUUUCACUUCUGGGAAAAUAUGCUUGACUUUGUAGCCAUGAAUGAAGUUUCCCAAGAAGGCAAUCUUUUUGUUCAGGUUGGGAAUCCCUUCUGAGCAUGCUGAUUUUUGUCGAUUCUUAUUUUGUUCCCAUUUUAGGGCAGGAGCAAAUUAGGUCUGUUUUUGUUUUUAUUUAUUUUGUUUUGGAGAAAUUAAGAAAUUUAUAAAAUAUAAAAGAAAAUACAAGAUAGGAGGGGCAUACCCCAAGCAAAGUCACAAAAACUCACCAUUCGUUUCCAAUUCAUUUAAGUGUAUUAUUGUUUUCAGAACCAUUUGUUGUUUGGUUCUGGGGGGCAACAACAAACAUCUUCUAUUUCCUGGAGCGUAAUUACUCAGAAUAUUGAAGCAGAAAAAGGUGUGGAAAUGAUGAAACAAACAAUCAUCCAAGGAUGAAAUUGCCUGGAUUUAAUUGCAACCAUGCUUAGGAUUAAGAUGCUUAUAUGUCAAGUGCAUUGGGUCAUUUUAUACAUAAUGAGCGAUCAGUUUUGUAAUAACUAAUGAUUCAAUAGAUUGAGAUUGACCACAUGAAAAAUUAGAUUCUAAAAGAUGUUGUCGUGCCCCUUUUCUUUAAGUAACUUUUGGUGAAUUUGUCUUGAGAGGAAGACCCUUCAUUUAUUUGGUGGGCAUCUUUGGUCCCAUGAAUAGAUGGAAGCACAAUUUCUCAUGUUAGAAAGAAGAGUAGAGGUUAGCUUUCAUUUUAAAUGUCACUAACCAUUGAGGAGUAAUCAAAGGACAGCAUCCUUUUAAUUCACAUAUUUCAACAAAUUUCAUUAAAGGUGGACAAAAUUACAAUUUUAUCUCCUAAAAUGAUCAUUUUGAGAUAAAAAGUUAAAAUAUUCCUGCAUAUUUCAUGUCUAAAAUUAAGUGUUAUACUUUGGUAGACAAAAAUUAAUUUUUUGUCCCCUAAAAUGAUUACUCUAAAAUAAAACUAAAAACGUUCCUAAAAUUAAGUGCUAUACUUUGGUGGGCAAACAUUGGUCAUUCUGAGACGAAACUGAAAUCAUCCCUAAAUUGAAUUUUUUAUGUAGUGGCAAAUAUUGUUCAAUUUUUCAUUUAAUGAGCUUUACAUGUCUUUACCCACAUUACUACAUGUCAAUUCUGUUUCAUUCUGAGUAAGGUGUGUUUCUGAUGAUUAAACAAUGUGACAUACUAUUUUGCUGACAUUUAUGCUAUGGAAAUACAUAAAAAUGUCUCUAAUUAGCAAAGUUGGGUUAGAAUUUAUCUCGUAUAAUAACUUAGAUUCAUUUGUCAUAAAUAAAUUCUAGGCUUUCUUAAUUUAAUUGAAUAUUUUAAGAAGCAAAACUAAUCUGAAAAUUCAUUUUAAAUCAAGUGUUUAUUAUACUUUACCAUAUACAUGGUUCAUGUGUUAAACUAAAACCAUCUAUUGGUAUAUUUGGGGUGAGCUACUAUGUCAAUUAUUGUGACCAAAGUCCUUCAUGUUCAUCUUACAGUCUUGUUAAAAGUUUCUCAACUUGAUUUCAGUUUGAUCUUUAAAGAUUUUAGUAUAAUUUUUUUGCUCAUUAAUUGUAAGAUGUUUGUUCACUAUCUAAAAUGAGUAAAACUAUGUGUACUAACAUUGAGUACUAAUAUAUAUACUAAUGGUAAUGUGUUAUUUUAUUUUUAAUUCAAAAUCACCAAAUGAUAUGAUGAUAUGCUAUUGUUAGUACACAAAUUAAUAUUCAUUAUUUAGACCCGUAGUUUAUUGUUUUUAUCAUUGCAUCCGUAUGACAAAAAGUUGGCCAUUGGUGUUUGUGCCUGAAUACUAAUUAGGAAGUAAAAAUUUUCUCUGAAAUCUUUCUCUAUCAAGGCAAAAUUGAAGGAAAACCAUUUAACAUGCUAUGUGAAACUGGUUUGAAGAUGGUUCCAUAAGACAUUUAGCAAUGGUACAUAUUCACUUACACAAACAUAGAUAGGGACUUGUUUUCACAUUGAAGGUAGAGAUAUUAGUAUUAAUGUUGAGCCUCCACUUACUAACUUGAACUUUAGGGUUAAGUGGUAACAUAAUAUUAGAGUCAAAGCUUUUUAGAUUAGAUGUGAGCCUAACUGAAGGAAUUAUGCAAGACAGUUAAUCCUUGGAGGCUUAUCUUAUUGAGUUUAUUUUAGGUCAAGUAUUAACUUAGUAGAAACAAUCAAGCAAUAUCGUAAACCUAAGAAGCUAAUCUUUUUAUCUAUCUACUAACUUAAGCUUUUAGGUCAGAUGGUAACUUAUUGUGAUAUUGUUAGAAACUUGAAACCUUCAACACCUGAAUCACAACAUGAAAUUAAAGCAAACCAACACACCAAAAAUUGAAUGAAAGAGCCUUCACCACUGCUAUUUUAUAUAUGAACAAGGACACAUUUACAAGAUUGGUCCCUUGUAGUAAGUAAAAAAAAAACAAAAGAAGAAGAAUAAGAAAGAAAACAAAUACCUAAAAUGAUUAUUAGCAAUUCGAGAAGCCAUAACCUCUCAAAUCAGCUAAAGGCUAACCAAACAAAACCCAAACUCUUCUCUUGCUUUUUCGUUGUUAUAACCGACUCUGAUGAAUAUUCCAAUUCAGUUUGGACUCAACUAACGAUGUAGCAUAACACUCCAAAACGCAACAUUCACUUAUUCCGGUUUACCCACUACCUAUCUAUUACAUCUUCACUCCAAUCCUUAUAAUUCUAUCAAUUUACCCGCUACUCGCAUCUUCACUCUAAUCUACAUAAUUCUAUCCACAAACAAUCCUAACAAGUAUCAAAGCCAAAGAUUUCAAAUUCAACUUCCAAAAUUUGAACCAGAUAAAAAUAAAACCGAAGCCUCCACCAACUAGUUUAAUAAUUUAAUUCAAUUAUUUACUAAACAUAAGGAAUGGUGCAACUUUGUAAAACCUAAGUGGCUAAUUUUUUUAUCUAAAGCACGGGAAAAAUCGAUAUAUAAAUUAAUUAAAGUUUCCUACUAGUGGUUGGUAACAUAAAGAAAUAAAACAUUUAACUCAAUGAAGUCUCCUACCUUCUUCACUAUUGUGAGCUUCCUUUAGUGAGAAAUAUUUGAAUGCGGUAUGUUGACUAAUGGAUUUUGUUUUUCUUGAAUUAAUAUGCAUUUUCAUCCUUUUGUUUGAGAUUUUUUGGUGUUGUGAGAGCUAAGAUUAUUUAAAUGCAACUUAAAACUAUGAAAUCAUCCAACAUAGAAGACCAUUUUUCUAGUAGUGUGUGUGAAAAUUUUUUUACAAUGAAUGACAAUGACAAUUCAUUCAUGACCUUUAGUGGUGGAUUUUCACUGAGCUUAUGGUCAGCUUGAGCUUGACUUAAAUCCAUAUUAUCCAAUUUAAACUCAAGCUUGUUUGAGCUAGUGUACUAUAUUACUGGAGGGUUGUCAAUAGAAUAAAUAAUUUUGCUAGCGAGGUAACAAUAUCAGCAGAGGGAUAAAUAAUGUUGUAGAAGAGACAAGCAAGCCAAAAUCGAGAGUUUGGCUUGAAUCCACCCCUAUGGCCUUAAUUAGAUAGACCAAAAAAAGGAGGAAUUUAGAUUUUCUCAUCUAGUAAUAAUGUUUAGUUGACUAGUAAUAAUAAUAUUUUAGUUAUCAGAAAAUUAUCUAUCCAUUGGGACAAAGAAAUUUGGUUUGCUUAUGUUGUCUUCACUCACUGUUUUUGUAGUUUGUGAUCAAUUUACUUACAAGUAUCAAGGCUGUUUUUAUCAAUAUUUUUUAAAUAUUUGGGAUUUCUAGUUUACUCCAGCUUAAGAUAAGUUGAUAGUGCCCUAAAUAUCCACUGUUUACCCCAGAAGGACUAUUGUUCUGAAGAUGGAACUGGAAUGUGCUAGUUUUAUAGAUGUGUGUUUCUGUUGACAUGAUUUGAAGUUGGUGUAGGUUGUGACUGAGGUCAAGAGAUGGAGUAUGGUUUGUGCAAGUUUUCAUUCUCCAGUGUCUUUUUUUAUAUCCCCCUCUUUUAGAGUUGUACAUAAGCUGAUGCUAGUGAAGCAUUCAUGGUUAUAUAAUGCUCCAUUAAACUGGUUUUGUAGUGUAACAUGUGCAUGGUUCUGAAACUGAAAAUAUAAAAAAUAAUAAAACUUGCAUGAAGUGAUAUGAUCCAUGUUUCAUGAAACUUGGUUCUGAAGCUGUUGCUGCAUUUUUAUUUUUCAUCUAAUUAUAACUUUCUUUUUCUCAAAGUUUGAGGUUGACUUGAUGACUUAAAGACACGGAUCUAGGGUUUGCAAAUAAAGAAUUAGUUGUGAGAUGUCAAAUCAAGUAAUUCUAGUGCUAAAAAUCUGCAUAUUUAAACUGUCUACCAUAGUAGAAGCUGUAAUUUGGAAAAAUAAUAAUCUUAAAGUUGUGCAUCAAUCUAGUUUUGCUUGCUUGAUCCUCCCCAUGGUUAAGAACAUGCCACAGAGUGGAUUAGGGCUUGCUCUUGACCAUUGUGAAACUAUAUAUGAACCCAAACCUAAUCUUUUUCGCUAAGCUUGCACUAAAAUCUUUUAUGGUGGCUUUAUGUUGAACCUGGAUUGAUCCUGCAGGUAUGUCUUUUACAUUCUGUCUGAACCUCUUCAUGUCAUAUUCUGAAUUGCCUUUUCUUUUUUUUAUUUUUGCUGUAGUGUUUGUUUCAUUAUUUACACCUUUUUUGCUCCUAUAUUGCAUUUCUUUACUUGACCAUCUGUCAUGUUUUUCUCGUGGACCUACUGCAUUGAUCUUAUAUACUCGUAUAUUGUGUAAAAGAGGCAUUGCAUUUAGUAUUUUACCUUAACCAGACAUUGUUAUUGUAUUGAUAAUCAUCUACAACUUAAGAUUGCAUUCGAGUCGAGUCAAGCCUAGAAAUGACUGGUUUGAACUCGGUUCAAAUUAGUAAUGUCUAAUUCAAGUUUAAGAAUAGACUGACGCAACUACCUAAAGAAACUAUACAAAGCUAGGGAUGUUUUCUUUUGAAGACCUAUCAGAGUAUCUACAAUUAUAGAGUUCAAGAGAAAGACCUAACAAAAAGAUAUCAAAAAACCAAAAGAGGACCUAAGCCAGUUGCUCAUGCUCAAACUAUAAAAAAAAUCAUUUACAACAUAAUGCAUAACAAAGGCAACUAUGAAAAGGUUAAUGACCAUGUCAUUGGCAUUGCUAGGACAAAAUGAGGACACUUGAAGAACAGGCAGAUGACAGGUACUGGGAUUGGUCUGAAAUAGGAGAUAAAGAGUCAUCCAAGGAUCUGCAGACUUUGACAAAAAGGAGACUAUUGUAAUAACUUUCCAAGAUAGUGUGAAACAGGCAGCAAAAAUAAUGGUCUGUCUUGUGGGAAGAAGCUGCUGCACUGGAAACAAUAGCAUGAAAUUGGGACUGUAUUUUGGAAUCAAGAUAAAGCAAUCAGGAGCAGCAGAUAGCACACAGAGACAGCAGGAAAUUCCAAGAUCUGUCAAGGUUCCCAGUUGCAACAGGACUUCAGACAAUUCGCCAAAACAUUUUGUCAACACAACUUCAAUCCCUGGCUCAGGAAAGAAAAGAAGGCUUGAGGCAGAAUCUGCAGAAUUUUGCAGAAAAUUUUCAGGAUACGGCUGGCCUGAGACUCCAAACUCUGCUGCAAAAACAAAACUGCAGAACCAACACCUGCAGAAUAUGGGCUGAAAUUGAAACCUAGGGAGACUGCACACAUAGUUGCUUCGGCUGAAAAUACUGGUCACCAAAGCCAGAGAACAGAGGCAGGAGAGAUCAAUGAUGGAGCAGCAACCCUGAACAACAGCUACCUUAGAAGAAAGCAACCAGCAAAGAAGGAAAGCCAGGAGGAGAAGACUGAGAACACAGAAGGCAAGGUUGUGCAAAAAAUGCAGAACCUGCAGGACACCAGAACCUAUCCAGAAACUCUUGCAACAAAGAACAGUCUGUAUCCAGAGCAAAAACCUGCAGAGGGCCAGCACCAGAGGGACCAUGCAGAAGCAGAAGCAGGGAGCCUGUGGCAAAAAAGUUGGCAGUUGAAUGAUGCAGCAGGAUGGAGAACUGAAAAAACCAUACUCUGGGGGUGGAGACAGCAUGGCUGCAGCAAUUUGGCAUAAUUAAAUGGCAGCAUACAACCAUAGAAGUCAUCCUGAUGUGGAUAGGAACAGCUGGUUGUAACAAGGACUUCUUCAAGGAGUGUCUCUGCAAAACAGCUAAACAUAUUAGAACCAAGGAACUCCUGUGAUGGGAAAACCUGUCCACCAUCCAACGGCUUUUACACCUCCGCCAGGCAAGUAUCCUCACUCCCAGCUGGAAAUUACACAUCUGAUCUGAAAAUGCUCUUUGGCAGUCCCCAAUUCUUUGCUAUGGAUGCAUUUUUAUUGGUGAAUUUGAAUUUUGUGAGAUCUGAACCUUUAUCUCUAACCAUUCUUCUAAUAUUGUCAACAAUCCUCUCUUUAGUUUGCACGUGUGAAGACAAGCAUCUAUAAUUACGCUCUCUCCAAAUUGAAUAAACACUAGCACCCAAACUAAUCUUAGCCAAUGUUUGCACGAGGCCUUCCCCUUUCCAAUCCUUGGUGAUAGCUUGGGUUCUAUUACCCAGUAAGGAUAGCCCAAGGAUUUUAAUCCAUAUAAACCAAGUAAAAGGGCAUCAAAAGAACAGGUUGUCGCAAUUCUCCUCACUUUAAUUGCGAAGACAACAAUUAGCAUUGUUGAUUAACCCAUAUCCUAGGAGUUUGUCUUUCAUGUUGAGCCUCUCCAUUAUAGCUUUUGUCUUUUGUGUUGAGCCUCUCCCUUAUAGCCAACCAAAGAAUAAUAGAGUGCUUAUGGAUAUUCUUCUUGUGUCAAACCAAACCAUCCCAACACACUCUUGUCUUCCUAGAAUGCAACUCAUUCCAAGCCAAGUUAAUUGAAAAGUUACCAUUGGAAGAAGGGUGGACAAAUAGCUUUAUUUUCCCCACUUGAAGGACUUAUGGUAACCUUUUCUUUCAACUCAAUCCAAUCUCAAGAGUUUGUCUUCAGUCACUUCCAACGCCUCUCCUCGAUGAUGUCACUGACCUUAGCUAGGGUGCUAAAACCGAAGUUAUCCAUAAUAUGGCUACCAAAGUUUUCCAUGAUGGGACCUAGGGAAUGCCAAUUUUCAUGCCAAAGGAAGGUACUACUCCCAUUGCCAAUGAGGAUUUUAAUUUUUCCUCUAAUCUCUUCUCUGAUCUUCAUAAGCUUUUUCCAAAACCAAGGACUUUCCGCCAGCACAUUAACUUCCCAUAAGCUUUUCCUUUUCAAUCUGUUAUUUUUCACCCAAUUCGCCCAAAUGGAGUAGCUUUUGGAUUGGGCAAGGUUCCAAAGAUGUUUAGUGAUAGCCGUUUUGUUUCAUUUCUUAUUAGUCAUGAGGCUUAAACUGCCUUCUCCUUAGGAACACACACAUCAUCUCAUGCCACCUUAGCUUUGUGUUUAUUCAUAUCUACCCCUGCCCAAAAGAAGGUUCUCAAACUAGCAUCAAUAUCAGUAAGGAUCUUAGCAGGAAGGAAGAAAAUGGAAGACCAAUAAAUUUGGAUGCUAAAAAGAAUGGCUUUUACAAGAGUGAGUCUUUUAGCGUAGGUGAGAGAUUUACUUAUCCAAGAAGUGAUUCUUUCAAUAAUUUUUUCAGUAAGAACCUUGCAAUUUUCUUUAAAUAGCUUGGUGGAAACCAUGAGGACCCCAAGAUAUUUUAAAGGAAGAGUGCCAACUUCAAAAUUGAGGAUCCCACUAAUGCUAGCCUUCUCAUCAUUUGAAACACUGGAAAGGAAAAUGUUGUUGUAAUGAUUAGCUUUGAGACCAGACCAGUUAUGGAAAUAAUCCAAAGCUUCCUUGAUGAUCUUAACACCUUUGAUAUCAACCUUGCAAAAGAGAAUUAAAUCGUCUACAAAGCAAUGAUGAGUGAUUUUGCUAGCCUUGCAUCUCCAGUGGUACUCAAACUCCUUUCUUGUGGCUAACUUGUCAAGAAGUCUUGAAAACUCAUCCAUGACCAUCACAAAAAGGUAAGGGGAAAUUGAGUCUCCUUGUCUAAGGCCCCUUGUGCUCUUGAAGAAUCCUGUAAGCUCCUUAUUAAUAUAGAUGGAAAAAAAUGGUGUAGUAAUACAUUGUUCAAUCCAAUUCACAAAAGCCAAAGGAACACCAAUAGUUUAAAGGAUUGUAAGGAUAAAGUCUCAAUUCACCAUAUCAUAUGCUUUCAUAAGGUCCACUUUGAUAGCACAUCUCUUCCUUCUUUACUCUUGCUUGUGAUAGUUAAGGAAGAGCUCUUGACAUAGGAGAAUGUUGUUACCAAUUUUCCUUCUCCCAAUAAAAGUUGUUUAAGCCUUGUUAAUAAAAUUAGGUAGGAUACCUUUGAGUCUAUUAGCCAAAAUCUUCGCAAUACAUUUAUAGAGGAUGUUGCAACACGAGAUAAGCCUAAAGUCUUUACAAAGAGAAGGUUUAUCACAUUUCAAGACAAAAGCAAUAGUUGUGCAAUUUAAUUCCUUAAGAAGGAAACCCGAAGAGAAGAAUGAUUUGAUAGUUUCACAAAUAUCUUGGCCAGUGAUAUCUUUAUAAAAAAAGAGCAUUGAAACCAUCGGGCCCAAGGGCUUUCUCCUUGCUUAUACCAAAUAACAUGUUUUUGAUUUCUUCAAAAGAAAUUUCCUUUAUCAUUUCCUUAGCAAUGUCAUGUGGGACAUGAUAAUCAAGAAGCCCCUCAUAACCUUUGUCCCUAAACCCUAAGCUUAGUCCCUUCAAGUGUUUACUAAAGGCAUCUUUUAUCAUCUCCUUAUUAGUGGUGAACAAGCCAUCCUCAAGAAAAAUGUUAUUGAUGGAAUUUCUAUUUCUCCUUCCCUUGAUACACUUAAAGAAAUAGCUAGAGUUAUUUUCUCAUUCUUUAAGCCAUUGGAUCCUUGACUUCUGCUUGAGAAGAAAGACUUCUACUUAAGAAGAGAAUCUUCUUCCCAACUAAGGUGCUUAAGAUUGCUUGAAAGCCUUUUUUCCUCCUCAUAAAGCACCAUGUUCCUCGGGUUGUAAGCAAGUGUACUUUGAACAUAUUCAAGCGCAAAUCUUGCAACCUUCACCCUUUUGGAAAUACACCAAUAAUCUUUUUUAUUGAGAUCCUUCAAGGAUUUUUUUUACAUUUUUGACUUUACUAAUGACCCGAUACAUAAGACUACCAUUGAUCUCCUCACUUCAAGCUUCUCUCACCAAUGGAGAAAAUUUUCAUAUUUCACCCAAAGAUUGAAUAAUUUAACUGCAUUCUCCUCUUACACUCAACAAUAUGAGGAGAGUGAUCUGAGAGACCCCUUAGGUUUGAAACCACUAAUGAUCUAAGGAAAAUGCCACCCCAAUUGUCCUUGACAAGGACUCUAUCAAGCUUGCACUCUAUUCUUCUUUUGCCUUUGCUAUUAUUGCACCACGUAAAGAAAUGGCUCAUACAUCUCAAGUCCUUAAGGUGAGAGUGGUAACAACACUAGUUAAGGUCAUCACAAUGAGCAUCAAGAAGAACGGUCCCUCUAUUUUCUCUUAAGCUUCUAAUGGCAUUGAAGUCCCCAAGCACUACCCAAGGGGAAUUUCUAGAAGCACCCACUUGCCUUUUUAAGUCCUCCAACAAAAGCUUUCUUUCACUAGUGAAGUUAAAGCCAUAAGCAAAGAAACAAAGUUUUUAAAAGACUUGCCUGUCAAGAUUACCUCACAAUGAACCACUUGCUCCAACUUACUCAAAAUUUUAACAUCAAUCGAUCUUCAUUUGGUCCCACGCCAACCAUAUACGCCCUCUAGGAUUGAGGUCAUUAUUGUUGACAAAGUUCCACUCUCCAAAAUAGUUGUCUAACUCUAUCCAUAUUAGCUUCUCUAACUCAGGUUUCCAAUAUAGCCAUAAGAACAAGAUUGUUGCUAUUGAUAAAAUACUUCACUUUUUUUCGUUUAAUAAGGGAAUUGAGAACCCUAAUAUUCCAAGCGCCAAAUCUAAUCAUGAGGAGUAUCAAAGGGUGGGAGAUCUCAAGUCUUCUUUGCAAGCGUCCUUUUUUGUUUUCUAUUUGAGUUACCCUUGCCAACUAGUUGUAUGUCCUUUUCAUCAACUUUUAAAUAGAUUCCAAAGGGGACAAUGGCAAGAGAGUCUAAAUCUUCCACCUAGGUAGUUUGUUUGUCCGAGAGGUAACAAACUAACUUGUUCAGCAGAGAUAGAGGAAUAACCUUGCAAAAUUAUCUAACGCCAACUUGCCACCAUUUGCCAAAACCUGUACGGUAUCCUGCAAGGAAGCUGUAUGAGCUCUUUUAUCCUUUGUCACAACAGAACCAAAAAAGACCUAUAUAAAGCCAGGUGCAACAACCAAGAGGGAAGUCUAAACUUCUUCAACACACAAUGAGGGCCCUUUCGCUGGAUGGGACAAGCACUCUUUUUUUCGAACACAACCGUGGAACAGUUCUGAACUGCACUAAGACCAAAGACAGCAGCUUUACCUUUGGAAGAAAUACUCAAUGGAACACCAAUUGAAGAAGCAGUCUCUAAUACUUGUUCACUGGGCGGAUACCCUUCCAUGAGGUAGGCAAAUAUGUUAGAAACCUCAACACCCACGGAAUCAGUUUUGGAGGUAGGCCUGGGAAAGGAUUUAGCACUUGCAGUAACUCUUUACCAUUUUUCCUUUUUGGCAACCAUAUUAAGGUUUCUAGUUCACUUUCUAACGAUAAAAGGUUGCCCUCCAAGGAGUCUAGGACCAUCCUCAAUAAUUUGAAGUAAAUCAUCCAAGUUGCUAAAUUUAAUUAAGAGCAUAUUUUGACAGCCCACAAUUAGCCCAAAGUCUCUCAACAAAACACUGAGGCAAAAACCAACAGCAAGGUUGCCCCAUUUCUUUGCUCCUAAUAUAGCUAUUUCUUUGAGGGAACCGCACAAGCAUAGCCAGAGGAAGAGCUAGCAAGCGAGUGGAAAAAUUCAAAAGUCGAACAACCUUUUUUCUUCUCGAAAAGCUUGGCCCAAGGAUGGCCAACCAAGGGUUUUGCACUUGAGAUUUCAUAAGAGCCAUCGCCAUAAUCCACAAGACCCAAGGGGGUAGAAACAUCCGAGAGAGGACCUUGGAAGAAUUCUGAAUACCUUUAGCAAUUUGAGUACCUAAACUAGCAACAGAAACGAUAGGAGGAGCCAUGACCAAGGCCAUCAACCAGAGAGCUGCAACCAAGAGAGCAAAAAACCAACACCUAGCCAAAGUAAAUCAAGAGAUCAGAAGGAAUACCAUGCAAAGCAACAAAUAGAACAUUGUAUGGCAAAAGAAACAACCACUUCGAGGCAUCCACAUAGAAACACAAAAGCAAGCAAAACCACAAUGGUAGCCACCCUAAGCAACACAAGAAAAGGCCCAGACUAAACCCCCAGCCUUAAACCUUAGGCAAGAAAACCAAAUGCCAAAGAAUGUAAUCCAGGAGAAAAGCCCAAGAACUAGAAAACUAAUUUAGAAACAUAGCAAAAUCGAAACCCAACCGACACACUAGCGCCACACUAAUAGAAGAGGCUUAGAACCAAAGAAAGCCCAACCUAGAAGCAGGGUACCACACAAGCCCCACGUGGCAACCAAUGCACCCAAAUCAAACGAGGUGCCAAAAGAUGAAAAAGCAGCAGGAGAUGACAACUACAACCAGCCUUGAACAAACAACCUAAAACAUGUUAGCCAGACGAAAAUAAGGCAGAACAGCUCUAACACAAAGCAAGCAACCGCACAACAAACAAGAACUAGAGACAAACUAGGAGUGCCAACGUAUCGAUCCCCACAAACCAAAUUAAGGUUGAAAACCCUUAUUUGCAAGAAAAAAUCCUCUCUACGUCCCCAUAUCCAUGUGAAAAAAUCUCCUCCUUAUAUCCUUUAAACAUAUAAAUAUAUUAAAUAACAAAAUUAACUAAAAUUAAAACCAACCCACUAUUUCAAAUUUCGCGAAUAACAUAUGUUAACUGCCUUAAUAUGCACAAUAAAAGCAUAAAUAAUCUAAAACUAUAAUGAUAUAUUAGUAUUUUAAGUAAAGAUAUUAAUAUAAAGGACUAGAAUGGGAUGGGACGAGACGAGACAAGAUGGGACGGGGCAGGGCGGGCCGAGGCGAAGCAAGGAAUGGACAUAUGUAUCCCUUCCCUAAUUGCGAAGAUAUUUUUUAUACUUGUCUUUACCCUUUUUCUCAUUUCUAUUAGAAAUUUUUUUCCUGUUAGGGUCGCGGACCCAAAAUUCGGAUCAAAAAUACCAUUUCUAAUAGGGACUUGUCUUCACAUUGAAGGUACAGAUUUAAAUAUUAAUGUUAAUCCUUUAUCUACUAGCUUGAACUUUAGGGUCAAGUGGUAACAUAAUAUUAGAGCCAAAGCUUUUUGGAUUAAAUGUGAACUUAACUGAAGGAGUUAUACAAGACUAUAAAUCUUUGAAGGCUUAUCUUGUUGAGCUAAAAUAAGCUCAAGUAUUAUCUUAAUGGAGGUAAUCGUGCAACAUUGUAAACCUAACAAACUAAUCCUUUUAUCUAUCUAUUAACUCAAAAUUUUUAAGUUGGGUGGUAUCUUAUUGUGGUAUUGUUAGGAACUUGGGACCUUCAGCACUUGAAUCACAACACUCCAACAAACUAAUGCACAAACAAUCUAUUUCCAAGAAAUUGAAACAAACCAACACACUAGAAACUGAAUGAAAGAACUUUUACUGUUGUUUUAUAUAUGAACAAGGAGAACUACAUCACAUUUACAAAUUUGGUCCCUUGCAGUAGGUAACCAAAAAGAAGAAAAUAAAUAGAAUCCAAAAUGAUAACCAGCAAUUCAAGGAAUCAGGACCUUCCAAAUCAAACAAAGGUUGCCAAAAAAAAAAACCCAAAUUCUCUUGCUUUUGCAUUGUUACAACCAACUCUAAUAAAUAUUCUAAUUUAAUCUAGACUUAACUAAAAGACUCUGCAUAACACUCAAAAAUACAAAAUUCAUGUAUUCCAUUUUACCCGUUACACACCUAUUACAUUUGCCUGCUACUUGCAUCUUCACUCCAAUCCAAAUAAUUUUAUAUCAACAUACCUGCUACAUGUAUCUUCACUCUAAUCCACAUUCUAUUUUCAACAAUCCUAACAAGUAUCAAAGCCAAAGAAAUCAAAUUCAACUUCCUAAAUUUCAAGCAGAUAAAAAUAUAAUUGAAGCCUCUACCUAAUUAUUUGAUAAUAUUUUAAAUCAAUUAUUUACUUAACUGAAGGAAUGGUGUAACUUUGUAAAACCUAAAAGGCUAAUCUUUUUAUCUGAAGCAUGGGGAAAAUUGAUAGAUAAAUUGGUUAUAGUUUCCUCCUAGUGGUUGGUGCAAUGAAGAAAUAAAAUAUUUAACUUUAUGAGGUCUCCUACCUAAUUCGGUACUAUGAGCUUCAUUUAAUAAGAAAUAUUUGAAUGUGGUAUGUUGACUAAUGGAUUUUGUUUCUCUUGCAUUAUUAUUAUGCAUUUUUAUCCUUUUAUUCAUGGUUUGAAAUCAUCUUUUGAUUUUGUGUGAGCUGAAAUUGUUUAAAUGCAACUUAAAACUAUGAAAAUCAGUUGGCGUAGAAGGUCAAUUUUUCAGUUGUGUGCAUGAAAAAGGGUUUACAUUAAAUGGCAAUGGCAAUUCAUUCAUAGCCUUUAGGGGUGGAUUCAAGCCAAGCUCAGGGCUAGCUUGAGCUUGACUCAAAUCCAUAAUACUCAGUUCAAAUUCGAGCUUGUUUGAGUUAGUAAAUUUUAUCGUUGGAGGGUUUGUCAACGAGAUAAACAAUACUGUUGAUAGGAUAACAAUAUAAGCAAAGGGAUAGACAAUGUCACCAAAGAGAAAAGGGAGCCAAACUCAAGAGUUUGGCUCAAAUUCACCUCUGGUGGCCUUAAUUACACACACUAAAAAGAAGUAGAAUUUAUAUUCUCUUAUCUGGAAAUAAUGUUUGGUGGGCGAGUAAUAAUAUUAUUUUAGCUAUCAGAAACUAUUAUGUCCAUUGGGACAAAGAAAUUUGAAUUGCAUAUGUUGUCUUCACUCACUGUUUUUGUAGCUUGUGGUCAAUGCUCUUAUAAGUAUCAAGGGCAAUUUUUAUCAAUAUCUGUAAAUAUUUGGGAUUACUUGUUUACUCACAACUUAAGAUAUGUUGAUAGUGCCCUAAAUAUCCACUGUUUACCCCAGAAGGGCUGUUGUUCUAAAGAUGGAACUGGAAUGUGCUAGUUUUAUAUAUGUGUGCUUGUGUCGACAUAGUUUGAAGUUGGUGUAGGUUGUGACUGCGGUCAAGAGAUGGAGUAUGGUUUGUGCAAGUUUUCAUUCUCCAAUGUCUUUUUUUAACCUUUUAGAGUUGUAUAUAAGGUGAUGCUAGUAAAGCAUUCAUGGUUAUACAAUGUUCCAUUAAACAGAUUUUGGUAGUGUGACAUGUGCAUGACACACUGAAAAUGUAGAAAAAAAAUAAAAAUAAAAAUAAAGUUGCAUGAAGUGAUAUGAUACAUGUUAAUUUCAUGAAACUCGGCUCUGAAGCUGUUAGCUGCUGCUUCUUUUUUUUUUUUUUUUAAAUUUUCAUCUAAUUAUAAUUUUCUUUUUUUCUCAAAGGUUUGAGUUUGAAGACCAUAUAUCUACUACAUUACUUUUGUGGUCAUAUUCUUAAAGACAUUAAAAUAGGGUUUGCUAAUCAAGAACUAGCUGUGAGAUGUCAAAUCACGGAAUUCUGGUGCUGAAAAUCUGCAUAUUUAAACUAUCUACUGUAAUAGAGGAUGUAAUUUGAAAAAAGGAAAAACCUUAAAUUUGUUCAUCAAUCUAGUUCUAGUUUUAUUUGCUUGACACCCCCCACGGUUAUGAACAUGCCAUGAAGCAUGUUAGGGCUCUCACUUGACCACUGGAAAACUAUAUAUGAACCAAGAUCUAAUCCUUUCUGCUAAGCUUGCACUAAAAUCUUUUAUGGUGGCUUGGUGUUGAACCUGGAAUGAUCCUGCAGGAAUGUCUUUUACAGUCUGUCAGAACCUCAUCAUGUCAUACUCUGAAAUGGCCUUUUUUUUAAAGCUAUAGUGUUUGUCUCAUUAUUUACACCUUUUUCGCUCCUAUCUUGCAUUUCUUUAGUUCACCAUCUGUCAUGCUUUUCUCCCGGACCUAGUGCAUUGAUCUUCUAUACUCUUGUAUAUAGUGUAAAAGAGGACUUGCACUCAUUAUUUUGCCUUGACUGGACAUUGUUAUUGUUUCGAUAAUCAUAUGCCAGUUAGGGCUGCCUUAGAGCUAAACCAAACCUGAACAUGGACUGAUUUGAGCUCAGUUCAAAUCUAUAAUGGCUAAUUCGAGACUUCAAGUUUGUUUGAAUUGACUAGAUAUGUUGUUGAAGGGUUGCUAAAAGGAUAAACAAGAUCGCCGGAAGAGGAUUUGAGUUGAACUUGAAUUGAGCUUCCGAAUGAACUUGGAUUUGGAUCCAACCCAACUGCCACUUACCUUUCAGCUUUUCAUCAUUUUUGUUAUGUCUUUAUGCCUUUGAUGUGAAAACAGCAAGCUCAACAGGAAGGUAUGAGGUACCUGCUGCGCCAAACUUUUUGUUCAUAUCUUAUGUAGUGGAAAGUCGAUAAUUGCAGUUUUAUUGUCUAAUCAUGUUUUAGCAUCUUCAUCAAAUUGUGACUGUCUUAAGUUAAUAACAAAUUGUCAGUAUUUUAUUAUCCUCUUAA